rnacentral:snRNA from 1 species
GCACCUGUUCGAGACCUGCGCUGACCAAAACUCCAGACAGAGAAGAUUAGCAUGGCCCCUGCACUAAGGAUGACACGCUAUUCAAAGAGAAGCUACCAAUUUUU